UACCUGGUUGAUCCUGCCGUGCUAUCUUGUCUCAAAGAUUGCCAUGCACGUCUCAGAAAUGCCGCGAAAGUAUAAGGCGAAACCGAAAAUGGUUUUAAAUCAGUCACGGUUCAUUGGAUCGUGACGCGUUAUGGAUAACUGUGGCUUUUUGAGCAAUACAUGCAGCCGAGCCCCGACCGCCCCCGGGGGGCGAGACAAAACCUUUAUUAAUUCUUCCCAGGCCAGCGAGGGCCCGGGAGGGGAAAGCGAAGCUUGGAGAACGGCCGAUCGGGGCUCGCCGGCGACGCAUCCUUCAAGUGUCUGCCAUCCUGUCGACGGGGUGAUGGCCUCCCGGGUCGCCACGGGUGAGGGGGAAUGGGGUUCGUUCCGGGGGGGGCCUGAGAAACGGCUCCCAAAUCAAAGGGAAAGGCGCGGCACGCAAAUUCAACCCCGGCCGGGGAGGUGGUGAAAAAUAACGACGCGGGACUCUACGAGACCCAGUCGUCGGAAUAACGCUCAAACCCUUAACGAGGACCUACGGGAGGGCAAGACUUCCAGCCCUGCGGUUUUUUAGCCCCAGGGGGUAUAAAAAUUGCAUUAAAA